UACAGAGGUCCCAAGCGUUGUUCGGAUUCAUUGGGCGUAAAGGGUGCGUAGGCGGCGCGGUAAGUCGAGUGUGAAAUCUCGGGGCUUAACUCCGAAACUGCAUUCGAUACUGCCGUGCUUGAGGACUGGAGAGGAGACUGGAAUUUACGGUGUAGCGGUGAAAUGCGUAGAUAUCGUAAGGAAGACCAGUGGCGAAGGCGGGUCUCUGGACAGUUCCUGACGCUGAGGCACGAAGGCCAGGGGAGCAAACGGG
rnacentral:rRNA from 1 species